CUUGGUGUUACUGCGAAGGGGGGACGGAGAAGGCUAUGUUGGCCGGGCGACGGUUGUCCCGGUUUAAGCGUGUAGGCUGGUUUUCCAGGCAAAUCCGGAAAAUCAAGGCUGAGGCGUGAUGACGAGGCACUACGGUGCUGAAGCAACAAAUGCCCUGCUUCCAGGAAAAGCCUCUAAGCAUCAGGUAACAUCAAAUCGUACCCCAAACCGACACAGGUGGUCAGGUAGAGAAUACCAAGGCGCUUGAGAGAACUCGGGUGAAGGAACUAGGCAAAAUGGUGCCGUAACUUCGGGAGAAGGCACGCUGAUAUGUAGGUGAAGCGACUUGCUCGUGGAGCUGAAAUCAGUCGAAGAUACCAGCUGGCUGCAACUGUUUAUUAAAAACACAGCACUGUGCAAACACGAAAGUGGACGUAUACGGUGUGACGCCUGCCCGGUGCCGGAAGGUUAAUUGAUGGGGUCAGCGCAAGCGAAGCUCUUGAUCGAAGCCCCGGUAAACGGCGGCCGUAACAAUAACGGUCCUAAGGUAGCGAAAUUCCUUGUCGGGUAAGUUCCGACCUGCACGAAUGGCGUAAUGAUGGCCAGGCUGUCUCCACCCGAGACUCAGUGAAAUUGAACUCGCUGUGAAGAUGCAGUGUACCCGCGGCAAGACGGAAAGACCCCGUGAACCUUUACUAUAGCUUGACACUGAACAUUGAGCCAUGAUGUGUAGGAUAGGUGGGAGGCUUUGAAGUGUGGACGCCAGUCUGCAUGGAGCCGACCUUGAAAUACCACCCUUUAAUGUUUGAUGUUCUAACGUGGACCCGUGAUCCGGGUUGCGGACAGUGUCUGGUGGGUAGUUUGACUGGGGCGGUCUCCUCCUAAAGAGUAACGGAGGAGCACGAAGGUUGGCUAAUCCUGGUCGGACAUCAGGAGGUUAGUGCAAUGGCAUAAGCCAGCUUGACUGCGAGCGUAACGGCGCGAGCAGGUGCGAAAGCAGGUCAUAGUGAUCCGGUGGUUCUGAAUGGAAGGGCCAUCGCUCAACGGAUAAAAGGUACUCCGGGGAUAACAGGCUGAUACCGCCCAAGAGUUCAUAUCGACGGCGGUGUUUGGCACCUCGAUGUCGGCUCAUCACAUCCUGGAGCUGAAGUAGGUCCCAAGGGUAUGGCUGUUCGCCAUUUAAAGUGGUACGCGAGCUGGGUUUAGAACGUCGUGAGACAGUUCGGUCCCUAUCUGCCGUGGGCGCUGGAGGACUGAGGGGGGCUGCUCCUAGUACGAGAGGACCGGAGUGGACGCAUCACUGGUGUUCGGGUUGUCAUGCCAAUGGCACUGCCCGGUAGCUAAAUGCGGAAGAGAUAAGUGCUGAAAGCAUCUAAGCACGAAACUUGCCCCGAGAUGAGUUCUCCCUGACUCCUUGAGAGUCCUGAAGGAACGUUGAAGACGACGACGUUGAUAGGCCGGGUGUGUAAGCGCAGCGAUGCGUUGAGCUAACCGGUACUAAUGAACCGUGAGGCUUAACCC
rnacentral:rRNA from 1 species